CCUACGGGCGGCGGCAGUGAGGAAUAUUGGUCAAUGGACGAGAGUCUGAACCAGCCAAGUAGCGUGAAGGAUGACUGCCCUAUGGGUUGUAAACUUCUUUUAUAUGGGAAUAAAAUGUUCCACGUGUGGGAUUUUGUAUGUACCAUAUGAAUAAGGAUCGGCUAACUCCGUGCCAGCAGCCGCGGUAAUACGGAGGAUCCGAGCGUUAUCCGGAUUUAUUGGGUUUAAAGGGAGCGUAGGUGGAUUGUUAAGUCAGUUGUGAAAGUUUGCGGCUCAACCGUAAAAUUGCAGUUGAAACUGGCAGUCUUGAGUACAGUAGAGGUGGGCGGAAUUCGUGGUGUAGCGGUGAAAUGCUUAGAUAUCACGAAGAACUCCGAUUGCGAAGGCAGUUCACUGGACUGCAACUGACACUGAGGCUCGAAAGUGUGGGUAUCAAACAGGAUUAGAUACCCGUGUAGUC
rnacentral:rRNA from 1 species